GGCCGGCCCGCUGGCCGUGUUCGCCGCCGCCGCCGACGGCGACCGGCUGCGGCCGCUGCCCGACGGACCGCUCGCCGCCGCAGCCGCCACCCUCACGCCCCAGCUGCAAGGUACCUUCGAGAUGGCACAGCAGGUGAGCUGGCUGUUCAAGCAGUGGUUCGACAACGUGUCUACCUACAUGAGCAAGAAGGAAGAAAGGCUCAAGAUGGAGAAGAAAGAGGCACAAGUUAUUCCGGCGAAGAAGAGGAAAACGUCUGAAUAAACGGCGUUUGUCUC